UGGGGUGUGGCUCAGCAGUAAAGCACUUACCUCCCACGUGUGAGGUACUGGGUUCAAUCCUCAGCACCACAU
rfam:Ictidomys tridecemlineatus contig091626, whole genome shotgun sequence.